AGAGAGAGACAUGCGCGCAUAUCAAUAAGCGGAGGAAAAGAAACUAACAAGGAUUCCCUUAGUAACGGCGAGUGAAGCGGGAAGAGCUCAAAUUUGAAAUCUUCAAGGUUUUACCUUGACGAAUUGUAGUUUAAAGAAGUGUUUUCUGCUGAAGUUUUGGUAAAAGUUCUUUGGAAUAGGACAUCAUAGAGGGUGAGAAUCCCGUAUUUGACCAUUAUUUUCAGCUUUGUGAUACACUUUCAAAGAGUCCGGAUUGUUUGGGAAUGCAGUCCAAAAUGGGUGGUAAAUUUCAUCUAAAGCUAAAUAUUGGCGAGAGACCGAUAGCGAACAAGUACCGUGAGGGAAAGAUGAAAAGAACUUUGAAAAGAGAGUUAAACAGUACGUGAAAUUGUCAAAAGGGAAGCGUUUGACACCAGUGUUGUUUUCUCGAAAAUCAAUUAAAAAUGGCUCGAUUUUGUAUUGUUGAGACCUUAAAAGCUCACUGUACAUUUUUCGUGUCUUUUUUAAUGCACUUUUCGUUUAACAAGUCAACAUCAGUUUCUUUUGUUGUAAAAGGGUCAUUGGAAGGUGGCUUUCUUUUCGGAGAAAGUGUUUAUAGCCUUUGGCCUCUGCAAUCGGAGAGACUGAGGUCUGCAGCGUAGACUCUUCGGGGUUAGAUACAUUUGUGCUAAGUUAUAGCUUUUUAUAGACAACUUGUUGACUAUAAUUAGUCUUGUAGCUUACUCGCUUAUGCUAUUUUACCUACGCUUAGGAUGUUGAGUCGUAGAGCACGCAG
rnacentral:rRNA from 1 species